AUGCCGCCCAAAGAGCUGCCCGGGUUCUACUACGACCCGGACAAGAACCGCUACUUCCCCACCAAGGGCCGCAUCCCCGGCGCCGCCACCCGCCCUCCUCGCCCUCCGCCGCCGCCGGCCGAGCCCUCGCCUCCUCCCACAGCACGCAGGAAAAGGGCGAGGCAGUCCGAGCUGCUGCAUGCCAGGGAGAUGUACGGCGGUGGUGUGAUAUUCUCCAAGAACAACAAGUCCACCUUCAAGCAGCAGUGCCAGUACACACAGGCGUCGCAGCCGAUGGUUUGGAAGUACCAAGGCACAACCUUAGUGGCUGAUAAGGCACUGGAGGAACUGCACGCCAUGGUUCAGACACCGAGUGGACUGCGUGAGUCCAAGCUAUUAGCGACCGGCAGCACGAAUGGUUCAAUCAGAUUAUUUGGGUUAGGAACUGCUCUAGAGAAUUUUGAGGAUGGGAUGGAGUUUUUACCUCAGCCUGUUUGGACUCCCUUGGGAAAGCAGAUAGCAGCAGUGAAUUCUCCACUUGCAAAUAUCUGGUCAUCUGAAACAGCGUUCUCAAACUUCUCAUCCAGUAUAUUUUGCAUAAAAAAGUUCGGGCGCAACUUCCAUGAUGCAGCCAGCACCAACUCAUCAGUUCAGCAAGCAUUGGUGGCUACUCUUGGAUCUGGAGGAUCUGGUGGUUCUGUUUAUAUUAUGGAUAUGUCAACUAUUGACUCUGCAACGGUUUCACGGAAUGCCCAUGAAAGAAUUGAAAGAGUUGCUUCAUUUGAUCGUACAGUAUGGACUGCUGAUUGUAAUUCUGAUGGCACACAAGUAGUUUUAGGUACAAACACUGGCGCUGGUUUGCUUAAUUUGGAGACAGGGACGUUAUCAUGGCUGUAUCGUUGUAAAAGUGACAUUCUUUCCCAGCAAUUUGUGCACUCGGGAAAUGUGGUGCUAUGUGGCCUACGGAAUGGGAGCAUAGUCCCUGUGGAUGUGCGGGAAAGGCACAGUAAUCACCCUACUGGUCGAUCUUCACCUAGCACUGCUAGGGGGACAGUUCCCAUGCUGUCUGCAAGGCAUAAUGGCAGAGGGAGAAACCAGGCUGAUAAGGCAAAAUCAUCUAGGGUUAUCUCUAUGCCUUCAGCAGUUUGCAGCCUGGUUUCUCUGUCGUCGGAUGAACACUACUUCUUAGGGAGCUCCAUGGAUGGAUCGAUCAAGCUAUUUGAUCUCCGUCUCAUUCAGAAGGGGGCUAUACAGUCUUAUGCAGGGCAUGUGAAUUCACACAAUAAUUUACCACUUGUUGUUGAUCCAUCUGAAACCCUACUUAUGUCAGGUGGGGAGGACUGUACCGUCCGUAUUUGGAGCAUCAAAACAGGCGAGCAAAUAUUUGCCAAGAGUGUGGCUGACACUCUCUUCACUGCACUUUGCUGGCCAGAAAGCAACCUUAACUUGGAUGGUUCUUCUUCGCUGUUUGAUCUAAACCACAGUUGGGGGGCUUGGAUGGGAUCACGUGAUGGCCUGUUCUACAUGCAUGGUACUUAA
rnacentral:rRNA from 1 species